rnacentral:rRNA from 1 species
AAAGAUUAAGCCAUGCAUGUCUCAGUGCAAGCCAAAUUAAGGUGAAACCGCGAAAGGCUCAUUAAAUCAGCUGUGGUUCCUUAGAUGGUACGUACGGUUACUUGGAUAACUGUGGCAAUUCUAGAGCUAAUACAUGCAAACAGAGUUCCGACCGCUCGUCGUCCGGAAGGAAUGCUUUUAUUAGAUUAAAACCAAUCGGACUCUCCGCGGGCCGUCACGCCUUGGUGACUCUGAAUAACUUCGAGCUGAUCGCACGGUCCUGCACCGGCGACGCAUCUUUCAAAUGUCUGACUUAUCACUUUCGAUGGUAGGCUCUGCGCCUACCAUGGUCGUAACGGGUAACGGGGAAUCAGGGUUCGAUUCCGGAGAGGGAGCCUGAGAAACGGCUACCACAUCCAAGGAAGGCAGCAGGCGCGCAAAUUACCCACUCCCGGCACGGGGAGGUAGUGACGAAAAAUAACGAUGCAGAACUCUUUCCGAGGCUCUGCAAUCGGAAUGAGUACACCCUAAAUCAUUUAACGAGUAUCCAUUGGAGGGCAAGUCUGGUGCCGAAACUUAAAGGAAUUGACGGAAGGGCACCACCAGGAGUGGAGCUUGCGGCUUAAUUUGACUCAACACGGGAAACCUCACCAGGCCCGGACACUGGAAGGAUUGACAGAUUGACAGCUCUUUCUUGAUUCAGUGGGUGGUGGUGCAUGGCCGUUCUUAGUUGGUGGAGCGAUUUGUCUGGUUAAUUCCGAUAACGAACGAGACUCUAGCCUGUUAACUAGGCGAACGCAAUUAUCAUCCGGCAUCGAAAACGAAAAAAAAAGCUGUCGGCGUCGUGACUUCUUAGAGGGACGGGCGGCUUCUAGCCGCACGAGAUUGAGCAAUAACAGGUCUGUGAUGCCCUUAGAUGUUCUGGGCCGCACGCGUGCUACACUGAAGGAAUCAACGUGUCAAGCCCCCUAGGCCGAAAGGUCCGGGAAACCCGUUGAACCUCCUUCGUGCUAGGGAUUGGGGAUUGCAAUUAUUCUCCAUGAACGAGGAAUUCCCAGUAAGCGCGAGUCAUAAGCUCGCGUUGAUUACGUCCCUGCCCUUUGUACACACCGCCCGUCGCUACUACCGAUUGAACGAUUUAGUGAGGUCUUCGGACCCGCGCGCGGGAGUCGCCGCCUAGCGGAGACUCCCGACGCGGCGGGAAAGACGACCGAACUUGAUCGUUUAGAGGAAGUAAAAGUCGUAACAA